rnacentral:rRNA from 1 species
UACGAAGGGGGCUAGCGUUGCUCGGAAUCACUGGGCGUAAAGCGCACGUAGGCGGCUUUCUAAGUCAGGGGUGAAAUCCCAGAGCUCAACUCUGGAACUGCCUUUGAUACUGGGUGUCUAGAGUAUGGAAGAGGUGAGUGGAAUUCCGAGUGUAGAGGUGAAAUUCGUAGAUAUUCGGAGGAACACCAGUGGCGAAGGCGGCUCACUGGUCCAUUACUGACGCUGAGGUGCGAAAGCGUGGGGAGCAAACAGG